rnacentral:rRNA from 1 species
GACGGAGGAUGCAAGUGUUAUCCGGAAUCACUGGGCGUAAAGCGUCUGUAGGUGGUUUAGUAUGUCUGUUGUUAAAGCUUAAGGCUUAACCUUAAACCAGCAAUGGAAACUACUAUGACUUGAGUGUGGUAGAGGUAGAGGGAAUUUCCAGUGGAGCGGUGAAAUGCGUAGAUAUUGGAAAGACCACCAAUGGCGAAGGCACUCUACUGGGCCAUUACUGACACUGAGAGACGAAAGCUAGGGGAGCAAAUGGG